AUUGAACGCUGGCGGCGUGCUUAACACAUGCAAGUCGAUCGGUAACGCGGGGGCAACCCUGGCGACGAGAGGCGGACGGGUGAGGAACGCUUGGGAAUCUGCCUAUCAGCGGGGGACAACACGGGGAAACUCGUGCUAAUACCGCAUACGCUCUACGGAGGAAAGCCGGGGACCGCAAGGCCUGGCACUGAUAGAUGAGCCCAAGCCGGAUUAGCUAGUUGGCGGGGUAACGGCCCACCAAGGCGACGAUCCGGAGCUGGUCUGAGAGGACGAUCAGCCACACUGGGACUGAGGCACCGCCCAGACUCCUACGUGAGGCAGCAGUGGGGAAGAUUGGACAAUGGGGGCAACCCUGAUCCAGCGACGCCGCGUGGGUGAAGAAGGCCUGCGGGUUGUAAAGCCCUUUCGGUAGGGACGAAAGCUCUCGACCUAACACGUCGGGAGGUUGACUUAACCUACAAAAGAAGCACCGGCUAACUCUGUGCCAGCCGCCGCGGUAAUAC
rnacentral:rRNA from 1 species